AAGCUUCAUUUGAAAGCAGAUGUUCUGAGUCACUGUGCUGUCCCAUCCACUCUUCAAUCAGUGCCUUCCAUUAAGAAAGCCACCUGAGAGGAAGAGGCGGGCUGGUGUUGGAGGAAAAGAGCGCCAGGAAGGUCCUGGGUUUGACUCUGACUACACUGCUGCCAGACUGCUCUGUUAUGCUGGUGGUUGGCUCCAAGCUGCAUCGGACGCUGGGCGCGGAAGCCCCGGGGCAUGGAGAACUCCAGUACCUGAGGCAGGUGGAGCACAUUUUGUGCUGCGGCUUCAAGAAGGAGGACCGCAUGGGCACUGGCACCCUGUAGGUGUUCGGCAUGCAGGCACGAUCCAGCCUGAGAGAUGAAUUUCCUCUGCUCACAACCAAAGAGUGUUCUGGAAGGGUGUUUUGGAGGAGUUGUUGUGGUUUAUCAAGGGAUCCACAAAUGCUAAAGAAUUGUCCUCCAAGGGAGUGAGAAUCUGGGAUGCUAAUAGAUCCCGAGACUUUCUGGACAGCUUGGGAUUUUCUGCCCGACAGGAAGGGGACCUGGGCCCAGUUUAUGGUUUCCAAUGGAGGCAUUUUGGAGCAGAGUACAAAGACAUGGAUUCAGAUUACUCAGGACAAGGAGUAGACCAGCUGCAAAAAGUGAUUGACACCAUCAAAACCAACCCUGAUGACAGAAGAAUCAUGUGUGCCUGGAACCCAAAAGAUCUUCCCCUGAUGGCACUGCCUGCCUCCUUGCCAUGCCCUCUGUCAGUUCUAUAUGGUGAAUGGGGAGCUAUCUUGCCAGCUUUACCAGAGGUCAGGAGAUAUGGGUCUGGGUGUGCCCUUCAACAUUGCCAGCUAUGUUCUGCUCACCUACAUGAUUGCACAUAUCACAGGCCUGCAGACAUUUUUAGCCAGGUGAUUUUGUCCACAAUUUGGGAGAUGCACAUAUUUACCUGAAUCAUAUAGAGCCGCUGAAAAUUCAGCUACAGCGAGACCUUUCCCAAAGCUCAAAAUCCUUCGAAAAGGUGAGACAAUCGAUGAUUUCAAAGUUGAAGACUUUCAGAUUGAAGGGUAUAAUCCACAUCCAACGAUUAAAAUGGAGAUAGCUGUUUAGAGAGCUUUCAGUGAUGCUGUGAAUAUCGACGUUUUUUUUUAAAUUAGGUAUUUUCCUCAUUUACAUUUCCAAUACUAUCCCAAAAGUCCGCUAUACCCUCCCACCCACUCCCCUACCCACCCACUCCCACUUAUUGGCCCUGGCGUUCCCCUGUACUGGGGCAUAUAAAGUUUGCAAGUCCAAUGGGCCUCUCUUUCCAGUGAUGGCCGACUAGGCUAUCUUUUGAUACAUAUGCAGCUAGAGUCAAGAGCUC